GGGGCUGACCGGUUUUGACAGCUUGUAGAAUGGUCAUGUAAGCACGACGAGCCGAGCAGUGCAUCUCGUAAAUCUGGGCUGCGAAAAUUAAUUGGCGAAAACAACUACGCUCUCGCUGCUUAGCCGAAGUACAGUAAGCUAACUCAAUCCUUCCGCAAGGCGGGGGGACGAGACAUCUCGCGAAUGGAGACUCCCGAUUCCGGUUCGACCACGAGGUGCUCAUCAAGUUCGGGAUGGUGCCGCCGGCGCUUCGACGACGACACGAGAUAAAGAAGAUAAGGGCCGGUUUAGGGCGUUCGUCUCCUUGCCGGCCUCGAAAAACAACGGCGGAAUAAUCGUGUAGAAAGCAUGUCGGUUCCUUGUUUGGACGAGGGUUCGAAUCCCUCCAGCUCCACA
rnacentral:tmRNA from 1 species